CGCCGGCCCUGUAGGACCCAGGGGGAUCCACAGCCCAGUUCCCAUUGAUGAUGGACCGGCCCCCAGGGCCACGAAGUGCUGCGGGUCAGAGACUCCACAGCCAUCAGGACGCCUGCCAGAGCCAAGGAUCCCAUCACAGCCGGGGCUCUGGAGAGAGUGAGGUGAGGCAGCGGCCACAGAACGCCAGACACCACCUCAACCCCACCCCGGUCCCCUCGGGAGCCUCAGCUCACUACCCUGCUUUUUGUGCCACAAGUGAGAGCACAAAAACAGCCCCACCAUCCCCAGCCAGACCCAGGGACACGGACAGGCGCCCAAUCAGAUCCUUCAGGCUCUGCUCAGCGCAGCUUGGCAGACAGCGUCCAGCCACACAGAUGUCAGGGGCUCCAGGCUGACACAGGGUCCCAUCCUGGACCUUUUCGGUGUGACGGACAUAGAAGCGGAAGCCACGGGGCCGGCAGUUCAGUUCACAGCGCUGGGAGCCCUGGACUAAGGGACAGGGUAGAAGGGUGGUUAGUGGGCUCCCUGGUGGGAGGUUAGCUGAGAGAGGCCCCAGAGGGGGCACCUUGAGGUUGCCCAGGUCACUGUGGAUGAAGGAAAUGUGACAACAGCAUAAGCUGAGGUGGUCAGGGCCGGGCGCAGUGGCUCAUGCCUGUAAUCCCAGCACUCUGGGAGGCCGAGGUGGGUGCAUCAUUAGGUCAGGAGUUCAAGACCAGCCUGGCCAACAUGGUGAAACCCCGUCUCCACUACAGAUACAAAAAUUAACCAGGCGUGGUGGCACAUGCCUGUAGUCCCAGCUACUCGGGAGGCUGAGGCAGGAGAAUCGCUUGAACCCAGGAAGCAGAGGUUGCAGUGAGCUGAGAUCGUGCCACUGUACUCCAGCCUGGGCGACAGAGUGAGACUCUGUCUCAGAAAAAAAAAAAAAAAAGGUGGUCAGGUCAGUUGAGGUCACCGAGACCAUCAAGGGGACUCAACUGAGAGAGGAGCAAUCCCUGAUGCCCAUGAUUCUGUGUGUUCAGAGCUCUUGAGUGCUUAUCCUGGUGUCAAGUUAACACAGGCCUAAAAUGAAGCGGAUGGUAACCUGGGAGCAACCGAUACGAUAGUGCCCAGGAUGCGUGGCACACCCCCACCUGGCUGUCACGGCUGGACAGGAUCUCUCCCACCAUGGCCCUCUUGUGUCACAGCCUCCUGACCCCCAGUGAUGGCCUUCCCAGGGGAGUCCGGACAAAGCGUGUCUCCCACACCUCCUCCUCCCACCCCGACCCUUCUGCAGACCACUCACCACCUGUGCUGUCUCCUGACCCAGCCCCAGGGAGAAGAAAGAAGGCAUGGCGCAGGGGAAGCAGAGGGGCUGGAAGUCAUUCAGGGCUGGGAGUAAGCAGGUAUCUCCUCUCCCCUUCAUCCCCAAUUCCAAGCCACCACUGCCCAGGGGUGAGCAAGAAACCUCACCUUCAGUGAAGGGCUCCCACUGAUACAGCUGGCCCAUGAAUUCCUGGGAGUUAAAGGCUGCGCACUGCAGGGCCCGGGGGUCUGGCUGCUCAGGGGGGCAGGGCUGCGGUGAGGGGUACAAAGGAGUCAGAGCUGGGGAGCAAAAUGAGGGUAGGGUCAGGGCUGAACCUGGGGAGCAGGUGGGAGGCUCAGGUCAGCGGAAGAGCUCCAAGACCCCUGCCCUGAGGUGGUCAGAUGCCUAGGCCCUUCUCCCUCAGCUGCCAAGCGGAAGCUGAGGACCCAGCUUCAGGGCAGGGAAGCCACACUGGAGGUCGGGGUUGGGAGAGGAGGCCCGAGGAGACUCACCGCUUGGCUGCAGGCUCUUAGCUGUUCACUCUCCCCAGAACAUCUUGGGAUAGGGCUACUGG